CNUGCGCUGCUAAUACAUGCAAGUCGAGCGGACAGAUGGGAGCUUGCUCCCUGAUGUUAGCGGCGGACGGGUGAGUAACACGUGGGUAACCUGCCUGUAAGACUGGGAUAACUCCGGGAAACCGGGGCUAAUACCGGAUGCUUGUUUGAACCGCAUGGUUCAAACAUAAAAGGUGGCUUCGGCUACCACUUACAGAUGGACCCGCGGCGCAUUAGCUAGUUGGUGAGGUAAUGGCUCACCAAGGCAACGAUGCGUAGCCGACCUGAGAGGGUGAUCGGCCACACUGGGACUGAGACACGGCCCAGACUCCUACGGGAGGCAGCAGUAGGGAAUCUUCCGCAAUGGACGAAAGUCUGACGGAGCAACGCCGCGUGAGUGAUGAAGGUUUUCGGAUCGUAAAGCUCUGUUGUUAGGGAAGAACAAGUACCGUUCGAAUAGGGCGGUACCUUGACGGUACCUAACCAGAAAGCCACGGCUAACUACGUGCCAGCCGCCGCGGUAAUUCAA
rnacentral:rRNA from 1 species